GCUCGGCAUGAAAGAGUGUCGCCAAAAACAUGGCGGCGCUUACGCCAUUUCCAUGGCAACUGGUCCGAAGUCUCCAUGGUAAUUGCCACUGACCAACCGCGAUCCGAAGCAUUAAACAAAGUCCAUCACCCCCCUGUUUUUACACAAAUAUUUCAGAAUUUAGAUUUUACUACGAGGUUUUUGGUUGUUUUUGAGCAAGAAAAUCUUUCCCUCGCACUUUACUUGUUUUACGAUGUGGAGGAAAAGUGCCGGUUUGUUUCGUUUGUUCAUGCAACAAUUCACUAUCAAGAAAGAUUAAUAGCUAUUCUUUCAGGUAAGAUUCAUGAAACUAUUUUUAAUUUGUAGAAGCUUGCUAGAUAUAAAAUGACUCUCGAAAUGAGUAAAAUGACUAUAAAUAUAUAACUAUAUAAGUCAAAAACUCAUGCUACUAUGUAUAUAUAUACAGCAAAAUUAAUAUUUCAAUCCAUUAUUGAUUAAAUAGCCUCUGGAACCGGGGUACGGACACAUAAAUCAUGUUUAUUAUCGUUGAAAAUUGUGGACAUGAAAUUAUGUUGUUUUGUGUUUUUUAUUGCCAGUUUUUAAUAUAAAUUUAUAAUAAUUGUGGUUGUUCACUUGCUCACACGAUCGUGCAGAUUAUAUAUGGUGUGAAUCAGGAUUAAUAUAUAGAUAAGCACAAAGACAGAGAGUGUCGGACAGAGGGAACAAAAUACCUAGGACCUGGGAAUGUUCAAAGCAGUGUGCAAAAGUUGGAUAAGCAUGAUUGAUUGCUUGCCUAUGUGUUUGAGAGACGAGAUAUGGUAUAACUGAAACUUUCUUUUGAGCUAGAUUUAACAAUCUUUCUGAAUAGGGUAGCAGCAAGUACACAGACUUCAUGUCCUGUGAACAAGGCUGCAUUGCAUUCCCCCACAUUGAGCAAGUCUCACUGAGCUUGGACAAGCAAGUCCUACUUUUGCCAGGCUUUUUGUAGCAGUGUUUAUAUAUGGGGUUGUAGGGCAGUGGUGGCCACUUAUUGUGGGGGGGGGGGGUGAUUUAGGUUGCCACCAUAUGACCGUGCACUUUAGGUUGUUGGAUAUCAUACUAGUUCUUUAAAUUUUUUUGCCUUAACCCAUGGAGCACCAGUGUGCUCUCCCCUUGACAAGUAAAAUUGUCUGGCAUUGUCAGACAGAUCGAGUAAAAUAAUCUGGUGUUAGACAGAGUAAGAUUAACUAAAGUUGGGCACAUUGGGUAUGCAGAUAGUUUGAUUUAUAUUCCAUUGAGUGCCAUGAGCACUCUCCCCUUGACGAGUAAAAUAGUCAUGCAUAACCAUGCAGAAGAUUGUCUGAUUAACCCACUGAGUGGCAGUGCUCUCCUCUAAAGUACAUUAGGGUGCAUUGCCACUUAAAGGGUUAACAUUAUUAUAUGUAAUACAUAUUAUAUUUUUGUUAAUUACUAAAGACGUGUAAUUAUAACAUGAUUGUGGUAUAAUGUUUACUUAUCUUUUUUUGCAGGAUUUAUCUGUUUAUUAAUACUGGUACCAGAAGAGAUGGCACAGGAUGCCAAAAUGGAGAACAAAUCGAAGUUAUGAUAAUAAUUAGUCACUCACCAAUUACUGUAGUCAAAUAUAGUUAUGGUGCAACUCUUUUUUAUUGACAAUAAAGAGUACUACACACAGUCACAUUUGAUUUUUUAAUUCACACUACAUUAAAUCUAAAUGUACAUCUUGUGUCUAAAUGUAGUAUGUACAUGUUUGUACAAUUGUACAGCAGGGACUGAGAGAGCAGAAAAUUGUAUAUUAUUAUAUUGUAUUAAAAUAUAUUCAAAGCACCAACAGCAACCUUUUAUCAGAUUUAUAACACAAGGCAAUACCCAAGUGUUUUAAUAGAUCUGAUGAAACAUGUACUGUGAGUGUUUUGAAUAACUUAAGAAAUGAUGUAUUUGAUAAAUUCAAAGAUGAAGUUUAUGUAAAUCUGAUCUCUUUUUGAAAUUUGUAGAUGUGUCUUCCUUCAAUGUUACGUCCCUCCAGGAUUUCGUUUACCAGAAUUGCAGUCCCCUUUUCAUCUGGGAAAAUCUCAGGUCCCCCCAAUUUCUCACCCAUCCCCCCCCCCAUCAAUAAUGAAUGCCCCCUUAUUAAUGUAAUUCAAUACAAUUUUCAAUGACUAUAUUAAAUACUUUUUGUCAUAAAUACUAAAUUAC
rnacentral:lncRNA from 1 species